rnacentral:rRNA from 1 species
GCGWUGUCCGGAAUUAUUGGGCGUAAAGCGCGCGNAGGCGGUCMWUUAAGUCUGAUGUGAAAGCCCACGGCUMAACCGUGGAGGGUCAUUGGAAACUGGGGGACUUGAGUACAGAAGAGGAAAGCGGAAUACCACGUGUAGCGGUGAAAUGCGUAGAGAUGUGGAGGAACACCAGUGCGUAAUCGGCUUUCUGGUCUGUAACUUACGCUGAGGCGCGUAAAGCGUGGGGAGYAAACAGUAUUAGAUACCCUGGUAGUCCWCGCCGUAAACGAUGAGUGCUAAGUGUUAGGGGGUUUNMGCCCCUUAGUGCUGCAGCUAACGCAUUAAGCACUCCGCCUGGGGAGUACGGCCGCAAGGCUNAAACUCAAAGGAAUUGACGGNGGCCCGCACAAGCGGUGGAGCAUGUG